rnacentral:rRNA from 1 species
GACGAACGCUGGCGGCGUGCUUAACACAUGCAAGUCGAACGGUGACGGAGGAGCUUGCUCCUCCUGAUCAGUGGCGAACGGGUGAGUAACACGUGAGCAAUCUGCCCCUGACUCUGGGAUAACUGCGGGAAACUGUAGCUAAUACCGGAUACGACGCGCGAAGGCAUCUUCUGCGCGUGGAAAGAAUUUCGAUCAGGGAUGAGCUCGCGGCCUAUAAGCUUGUUGGUGAGGUCAUGGCUCACCAAGGCGACGACGGGUAGCCGGCCUGAGAGGGUGACCGGCCAGACUGGGCCUGAGAAACGGCCCAGACUCCUGCGGGAGGCAGCAGUGGGGAAUAUUGCACAAUGGGCGCAAGCCUAAUGCAGCAACUCCGCGUGAGGGACGACGGCCUUCGGGUUGUAAACCUCUUUUGGCAGGGAAGAAGCGAAAGUGACGGUACCUGCAGAAAAAGCACCGGCUAACUACGUG